GUGACGUAGUGUUGAAAGGUUGGUUGCGUUAUGCUCAUCUGUUAAAGAUACAUAUUCUCUUAAUACUUCUGCCCUGGGAGGUAGGUCAUCAGUGUUGAAGAUAAUCAACCCUUCAUUUAAACCAACACAAAAAUGCAGAGAAAUGGUGAAGGAAAAUGUGGAUUGUGAGGUCUCUCUUACUGGAAAACUUCUGUUUCAGGGUGCUGCAUCAAUAUGUGGUGUGUCUCUUGUUUACUGUUCCUGCUACAUAGGUGUUCUUGUUGAGCAUGGUUGUCAGGUACUUUUAGCUAUGCUGCAACAAUAUCACCUGGCUCUUUUGACUUGCAGUUUGGGUUUU